AAGUCCCUUCUGCAGAGGCAGGAAGAUCUUCGGGGUCUUCGGGUCACCUCUCACACCUGUGGGCACUCUCUUCCCAGGGAUGGACAUAUUUACUCUUGGACUCUGAACUGCCACUGCCCACGUCGGGGAGCCUGUACCCUUAUGUAGAAAUUAUCCUUGCAGACUCCUUCCCACAUCCUUAGAGAUAGGCAGCCACAGGACUGUGCCUAGAAGACUCAAGCGGCAGCCAUGCCAGAGAAGAAAUGAUGAACAGGUAACCCAGGGCUCACUCAUCUUCUUGAAAAAAAAAGUGUUGCUUCAGUCCAGAAGGCAACAGAAAACCCAGCACUGAGGGGAGCUCAGGCAGAGGAAGGAGGAAUGGUAAGAAAACAACUGUCUCUGUAUCCCUCCCUCUUCCCAUCCCUCCCAGCCCCCACACGCUGCUCCCAACCAAGGAGAGGAAAAGAAAAAUCUUCAGUCCGUUAGGAGACUGAGAUUGCCAUCCCGUAGGCCAGACUGAUGUCAUGGCGGAUGUUCAGCCACAACCCAUGUGGCCCACAAGCCCUCUCAGGCCUCCCUCCUCCCUUCUUCCUCUUCCACCUGCAGGUUUACCAUCCAUCCAUCCACCCAUCCAUCGAUCCAUCCAAGGCUGAAUACAGAGCCUGUGUCAAUCCACAUCCACCCACUCAUGUGUUCAGGGCCACACCUCCCGUGCCCACAGCUUCUUGCUCAUGUAAUCUCCCAUUUUUAAAGAUAAGCUGCUUCUUUCAAUAGGACAGGAUUGUGCUGGCAGGGUUGGUGAUUGUGUUUUGGUUCUAAGGAGAAAGAAACUCGGAGAGAUGGAUAUUACACUGUUAUUGUCCCUGAUCUCCCAAACAUUCCUAUGAGGUGGACAUUUUUAUUCUCAGUUUACACAUGGAAGGACCAAGGCUCUAAGGUGUAUAUUGAAGACAGGGUUCAUUCUCCUACGAAGGGAGGCAGAGAAGGAAUAGAGCGCCCUCGUAGUUACAGAUGUCAAGUGACAGACUGGACGUGCUAGGACAUGCAGCACUCGCAGCGGCAGACAGACUGAGCUCCAGGCCAGCUUGAUCUACAUAUCAUGUCUAGCUCAGGCUGACUUCAAACCUGCUAUGCAAAGGGUUAUAAAGGGCGGCCUGGACCUUCUGACCGCCCUGACUUCACCUCCCAAGCGCUGGGAUUACAGCUUGGGGUCAAGCAAGAGCCCAAAGUUCCAGGACAACUAGGAACUGGAUGGCUGAUCUCCCCUGCUUAUUGAAAGCAAGGCGAUCAUGACAUAGUAAAGGCUAGACUCUCAGCAGCGCUGACCACUGGACUCGAGGCACUCAGUCCUAACCUGGCUAUGUCUUCCCUUGGCUCACAACCACGUGCUUCCCAACCAGCCCUUUCCCAAAGGCAGGAUGCUAAUAAGCCAGGCCCAGGGAGAAGCAAAAGCAUCCUGGGUUUCUAUGACAACUGCCACCUGUAUGCGACCUCUUGUGGCCUUCUCUUAAGUCCCUUAGGCCUAGCCCAGGUAUCAAUCCACUCACUGCCCUUUUCUCUGUCCCCAGUCCAAUCAUGGUAGUCUCUGCUCUCAACCUUCUUCUGGUCUGGGAAUUUCAGGUGCCCAGAGCCAUAGGCCUGUCUCAAAUGCAUCAUCCUCAACUUCCUAGUGUGGCAGGCAGUAAUGAAGACCAAACACAACCGCAGCCAACAACUACAGCAUCUGGCUGGUCCAGUAAGUAUUCUGCCUCCAACAGGACACAUUCCCAUGUGCCCCUCCUCAGACACCCCCUCCCCCCAUCUUCUUCAUUGCCUUCUCCCCCCAGGGGUCUUCUGGCCUCACCUCUAUCCUAUCUCAGAGGUUACUGCUAGAGUUGAGCCCAGCCUACCUCCUGGCCUCCCCAUUCCUCCAUCCAAAGCACACUAGAGGAAGCAGUGAUGGUAACUACUGUAACCCAGCUACCGAACUGCUGGCCAGAUGCCAGGACUAUCUAUGCUCAUUGCCCACAUCAGCCUGACCAGGCCCGUGCUCCAUCAACAGAAGACUGAGCUCAGACGGGCAAUGAGAUAAGACCGUGGAGCUUCAAGUGGCAGAGCAAGGAUCUGAACAAAGGUCGCUGUCCAGAUACCUUGGCACCUCGCUCACCCUGACUGGCUUAAAGGUCAAGGAGGUCUGCCCCACACCCAAGCCUGAGUUCCUGUGGGAGGAGGGGCAGUGUAGCCAGACUAGAAUGAAGAUCUCACUUUCCUUCGCUCCUGGCUCCAAGAACACCUUGACAACAGAGCCAGGGCCAGGCUGCUGGGAAGGGAGUCCUCCGCUUGCCUGGAACUUUGUACUGGCCAGGGAGCAGCAGAUAGUACACAGGACAGCCCGAGAGGCCAGUGUCCUCGGGAGAUAAAGGGAGUGUCCUCCCUCUCCUCGCUGUGCUAGCAAAAGCCACAAUGAACCCUCCUCUCCUCCUAAUCCUCAAAGCAGGAGGAAGCACAAAGGCCAACCCUCUCCAAAACAGGAACUGGCUGGAAAUGACCAAGGUGAGAGAGAAAAGAGGAUAGAUUCACAGUGCCAGUAGGAAACCGGAGAACCAGAGGUAACCCCCACCCCACUCCACUUGUAAAGGUCUAGACUGGCCUUCCCGGCCACCACGCCCCAUUCCAGAUUCCCCCAGCCAGACCUAUAAAGCCGGAUGCUCAGAGCCAACCGAGGACAGCAGGACUCCACUCUGACUUACCAGGGUCCUCACCAUCUUCCUCACAUCGCCUUUGGCUCCUGGACCUGGAAAAAGGCAGCCGCCCCAGAGUCCCCACUACUGCCUAGGCAGGAGCUGCCGUUGCUCCCACUGCCGCCAGCUUUCCUCCCAGGG